rnacentral:lncRNA from 1 species
ACGUGUUACCUGGAGAAGAUCGCUCUGGAUGAAUUGGAUGGAGGCUGAAGAGUCCCCCUCCGGCAGAACCACAAGGGUCAAAGGAAACACCUUAGUGUUAAGAUUGGCAAGACCUUGGCUGGAUCACUCGACGACGACGGAGAGACCUUCGGGGUAGAUUCAGAAGCCUUAGACUUCUUUUUGGAAGAAGAGGCCAGAGCAGUCGUAGCUUGACAUUUGCUGCUCCUGAUGAAUUGGACUUCAUCCUCAGUCUCACUAGGAGCAGCCCGCUUAGGAGCCGCCUUCUUCGCCAACAUGAUCUCCAAAGCUCUGUUAUACUCCGCCAAUGCUUCCUCGCCUUUGCAUCCCGACAUCUCA